rnacentral:tRNA from 1 species
GACAAUUUGGCCGAGUGGUUAAGGCGGCGGCCUGUUAAGCCGUUGGGCUCUGCCCGCGAGGGUUUGAAUCCCUCAGGUGUCG